GACGUGACGCAGGCGCAAUAGAGAUUUCUUGACUUCCCAGGGCUUAAGACGGUAUAAAUACCGAUGGCUUGAGAGGGUUUGGUCUUUUCGGUGAAGCCUAUUGUCGUGCGCUUCGGGUGUUAGCAUUCGUUUGGGAUUCCAAAUAAUUUGAUUCGGGGUAAGUAAAUGUACGAAUUCCUUUUGGCCUAUCAGUGUUUUGCCUGCCAACAUUUUGCAUAAGACAUUUGGGCAUUUUGAGCUCAGUUCCCUUUCAUGAAGAUGCUGCCGUUCAAUGCAUCUAGAUAUUUUGCUACUUUUUUUUGUAGGCAUGUUGACAGUUUCUUAGAUGUAUACUCAUUCCAGGAAGGUGGCUUUUUAAAGUUUAUCUUCACAUCUUUAAUACUCAUGAUAGAGGAGAGAUUUCUGUUUUGCAAAUGGAACAAUUUUGAAUGACUUAACCAAAGACGGCAAACUGUCCCAUGAGCCAUGUAAUGUGUGUACCCUCUCGAUCUUUCCAGGGGAACUAAGGGUUUGGUCUCUUGUACAGUUCAUUUCUGUGAUGCGGGGGGGUUAAGUUGCGCCAGCAUAUGCGGAGCAUAUGUCUACAAUGACAGUAACUAUGAUAGAUAAAGCAUAACUUUCGGAAGUUAUUGGAAACAGUUGCUAAUCCUUGUGGACUUGAACUUCCCUGAAAUCUACAUGUAGUAUGGGAUGAGGGGAAAUCAAAUGUCUUGAAAACAGGGGUACAGUAAGUCCUCUACAUACAGACCUUAAGAUGCGAACAUGUGUGCACAUGUCCAGCCACGUAAGUUAAUUCAGGUGUCUGGUGUACAUUGUCACUGUAAGGUCAGCUGGCCCGAGGCAGGUGAUGCAAACAAAUUCACUGGUUGCAUCAGCCCGGGGACUGUCAGCCUUCCCCCUCUUGAGGGGGGCGGAACUAACAAUCCUACAAUUGAUGCAACUGGUGUCCAAUAUUGCCACAGCACCCGAAGAAAACCGCCAAAUGAGGGCUAAUCUACGCCAAGAACCAUCUGCCCCACCCUUUCCUUUCUACCCCCUAUAAAUCCCACCCAAGCCCUCAACCCGGGCGCGACUUCUCUGGCCCUGCCCUUCGGACCGGGAGCGCUCCCAAAUAAAGCUAAUUUAAAGCUCUGUUUCACGGUGCCAUCCUUUACGGCCAGGCCUUACAGUCACAUGCGUGCAUCCUCUACAAGUGGUUGUGUUUUAGUAUACUUUACAGUACUGCAUGGAGUACACUAGGACAGUAUCUGUAUUUUAAGCCCAGGAUGUCUGGAAACAAGCAUAAAAGCAGCAGUGAUAACUGCUGAAGAAUGAAAGAGGUUCAUGAUGCAGGAAGUGGUAAGGGGUUUUCUUUAUUUGAGGAGGUGCUGUUAGUCUUUGAGGCAGAGGACCUGGAUGUAGAACGGUACACGAAGGCUGCAGCACCCAUUCAGAAUGCAAUGCAGUGUUACUGUGUCAUCUGAUGAGAAAAAGAGCAGGUACCCAGAUACCACUGGAUCGUUUUCUCAGGAGGGUAGAUAAGAGUUGAAUCCAGCAAGGGACCGGAACCUGUGCCAUCAGCGUCAGGCAGGAGUGAAGUUGCAGCUUGCCCUCCAUCUCCUAUUGCUGGUCCUUCAGCUCUACCAUCUCCCACCUCCUCGCCCUCCAGUCAGUAACUCAUGGCCUGUUCACUCGAGGCCAGCUCCUGUAUGCUAGCUGUUGUACUUUUCAAGGUGUACUGUAAGAUUUUAAAUGUUUAUUUUUGUGUGUUUGAAAAGUAUUAUAAAACUAUAUUACAGUACAGUACUAUAUAGUCAAGUGUGUUAAUUGGGUACCUAGGCUAACUUUGUUGUACUUUGUCCACUCUCAGAACGAAACUUGUUUGUAUGGGAACUUACAGUAACUCUGUUCAGUCAGACAUUCCAACGUGGAUACCCCGGGAGGUCACUCUCCCCGGGCUCUGUCCUGGUGGCGUAGGGGAGCAUAGGGCUCUGCCCCAUGACUGUACAGUCCCUUUCCACAACGUUGGAGAUGAAGCCGGGCCUUGAGUCUGCGCCUGCAUAUUCCUACAGCUUCUCAGAGUCCUGUGGACAAUGACUGAGGAGACAAACCAUGCAGAGAGACAUCUAGUAUACCAAACUAUAAAAGUGAACUAAGAUGGUUAUGUAUGCAUCUAAUUCUUUUUUGUCCUUUUCAUUCAGGAGAGAAGAGGAGCCUUGCCAGACUUGUGCAGUUAACAGUGCUUUGAGGGCCUUUAUUUGGCAGGGAGAUUAGUAAAGUGAGUAAUACACUAUUUUUGGAAGAUAAGCCUGGGCAACUUGAAAGUUUCGGCACAAUGUUUAACCCUGGAAUUGCAGAGUAAUAGUGUUCUGUUGCCCAGGUGCCUUUUUAAAUUUAGAAAGUGGAGAGCAGGUGCCCAUGAGAGUCUACAUGUCUUAAUAAAGAGAUCCAUGUCAGUUUCUAAUGUACUCGUGAAUUAUAAUAAAGUUGACUAUAUACAUAA